AGGAGGAACAACCGCAGUGGCGGGGCCAGCUCUGGAGCCCUGGAGUCAGCCCCCGCAGUAACUCCGGAGCUCUCGGUCUGCAGGGCCUGGAGGCUCCGGGGCGGG
rnacentral:pre_miRNA from 1 species